ensembl:snRNA U6 U6 spliceosomal RNA
GUGCUUGCUUCAGCAGCGCAUAUACUAAAAUUGGAAUGAUACAGAGAAGAUUAGCAUGGCUCCUGCACAAGGAUGACAUGCAACUUUGUGAAGCAUUCCAUAUUUUU